GGUCAAUAUGCCCAUCUGUUGUUGCUUGACUGGCUUCAGUUUGCCAUAUUAUGCUUUCAGCAUAUUUUUUGAGCAUACAGUACCUUUGAGAAUAUUUUCUAGACAGUAUUUGUCAUUGUUUUGGAUUGUUGCAAUGAUAAUACACAUUUGCAUAAUGCAGGCAUAUUUGUCUACACCCAUGUUGAUAAGAGCAUUAAAAAAACA